AGCAGAGCACUCAUACCAGAUUCCUGACCCACAGACAUUGUGAGAUAAUAAAUGUGUAUGGUUUAUUAAGCCACUAAGUUUGGGGAUAAUCCAUUACACAGCAAUUAAUAACUAAUACACAGCUCAGCAUCUCAGUUCCUUCAGCCUCCAUUUAUUUCCAGACCCUUCUGUAAGAAUUAAAGAAAAAGGAAGGCAACACGAAAGGUGGCUCACCAGUCAAGACAGGUUUAUUUUAGAGAAAACAAACCUGAGAGGAGCUUCUGGCUGAGUUAGGUUGGAGACACACUGUCUUACAGACUAAGAGUUUUUAAGAAUUCAGGGUGAGAGAGUUUAUCAGAGGCUUGGACUGCUUCUAUGUCUCGUUGUGCUUAUCUCGGAUAGAGAGUUGUGUGUCUGUUCCCAUACAUCUUUCUGCAGCUGCAGGCAUACCCCCGAGUCUGCUUUUAGUUUCCCUAUCUUAGUAUACCUGAAGGGAAAGGAAUGUGCUUAUUAAGGCCCACUGUUUUACUGGGGUCCCAUUGUGAGGGUGAAGUUUGGCAGUUACCCAAGAGACUUUCCCCCACCUCCCUCUGUGCCCGAGCUGUCUUAUCUGUUUUACUGUCUGCUCUUUCUGGCUGUUUGUAGUUAGAAAAGAAGUGAUUUCCUUGAAAUGCAUGAGGCUAGAAAGGGAGCUAGAACUUAAAGUGAUGGUGUUUGUCUGAGAUGACGGUGCUCCUGCUCUGUCACCUUUCCCAUCCUUUCUCUGUAUAUACUCCAAUAUAUCAGUGUCCUUCCUAAAAUAUGGGCCCUAGAAUGGGUCACAACACUCUAGAUGUGGUUGUGCAGCAGGACUGUUUCCGCCUGUAUGAUGGACAUUGCCCCUGAUUCUUGCCCAAGAUGCCAUUAGCAUUUUAAUGGAUGUAUCUCACAGAUGAUUUUCUUUUGAUCUUGUGGUUGACUAAAACCCCUAGGUCUAUGCCCCAUGAACUGUAAGGAAAGCCUAGUCACCCACCAUUGCAUAAUUGUGCCAUUUUUUGUUGUUGUUGUUAAGACAGUCUCUCUCUGUUACCCAGGCUGGAGUGCGGUGGCACCAUCUCAGCUCACUGCAACCUCCACCUCCCAGGUUCAAGCAAUCCUCCUGCCUCAGCCUUCCCAGUAGCUGGGACUACAGGUGUGCACCACCAUACCUAGCUAAUUUUUGUAUUUUUAGUAGAGAUGGGGUUUCACCAUGUUGGCCAGGCUGGUCUCAAACUCUUGGCCUCAAGUGAUUCUCCUGCCUUGGCCUCCCAAAAUGUUGGGAUUACAGGGGUGAGCCACCUUGCCCAGCGGUGCCACUGAUUUUCAAAACCCAAAUGUAGGACUUUACAGUAGCUCUAGAAAACAGUCAUUCUGCCUGUCCUGGCCAAGUGAAGACCCUGCAGACACUAUUUUGUAUCUGCUGUAUUCAUUUACUCUCCCAACUCUGAGCCAUCUGCAUACGUGGUCAAGCAUCCACCCAGCCCUGAACUAUCGUGUUGACUAAAAUGAUGAGCAAAUACAGAAGCUGCUCUCAAGGGUCCCAAAAGGAAGGCAGGAACCCCGCACUGAUGGAGACUCAUUAAAUGCCAAUCUUUGCCUGCUCCUUUUAUAUAGGGUACCUCACCUCAUUCUCACUAUAAUCCUACAGAGUAGUCACGAUUUGCAGAUAGACUGAGGCUUAGAGAGGAGAAAUAAUUUUCAUUUAUUCCAAAGAAAUAAUUUUUAAAAAGAAAAAAAGCCAGCCAGGUGCGGUGGCUCACACCUGUAAUCCCAGCACUUUGGGAAGCCAAGACGGGCAGAUCAGUUGAGGUCAGGAGUUCAAGACCAGCCUGACCAACAUGGUGAAACCUGGUCUCUACUAAAAAUACAAAAAUUAGCUGGGCGUGGCAGCGCGUGCUUGUAAUCCCAGCUACUUGGAAGGCAGGAGAAUCACUUGAACCCGCGAGGUAGAGGUUGCAGUGAGCUGAGAUCACAACACCGCACUCCAGCCUGGGCGACAGAGUGAGAGUCCAUCUCAAAAAAAAAAAGAAAAAA
rnacentral:lncRNA from 1 species